GACGAACGCUGGCGGCGUGCUUAACACAUGCAAGUCGAACGAGUGGAGAACGGGGGAGUAAUACGUGGGUAAACUGCACUCUUUUUGGGAUAAGCCUUGGAAACGGGGACUAAUAACGAAUAAGGGGGGAGGGGCUCGCGGCCGAUCAGCGUGUGGGUGGGGUGAUGGCCUCACAAGGAGGUGACGGGUAGCCGGCUUGAGAGGUGGCCCUGCCACAUUGUGACUGAGAUACUGCCCAGACGUCGCCGGGAGGCAGCAGUUGGGGAGAUUGCACAAUGGGCGACAGCCUGAUGCAGCGACGCCGCGUGGGGGAUGCAGGCUUUCGGGUUGUAAACCUCUUUCGCUAUCGAACGGGUAGGUGGAGAAGAAGCGCCGGCUAACUACGUGCCAGCAGCCGCGGUAAUUC
rnacentral:rRNA from 1 species